AACUUGCGAAUGUUGACCUCGGAUCAGGUAGGAAUACCCGCUGAACUUAAGCAUAUCAAUAAGCGGAGGA
rnacentral:rRNA from 1 species